rnacentral:rRNA from 1 species
AUGACGAUGGUCCUGGAUGCCUUUGCAUCCUACGUGCAAAACAUGCUCACGGAGAUGGUGAGUGAAGAGGUGCACAUGCUGCUUGGAGUCGGAGACGAGAUCAAGAAGAUGGAUGUCAAGCUUAAGGACCUCAAGAACUUCCUCGCCGACGCUGACCGGAGAAACAUCACGGACGAGAGCGUGCAGGAGUGGGCGGCCCAGCUCAAGCGUGCCAUGUACGAAGCUACCGGAAGUAUAAAGCUAGGGUGGUUACAAUGGAGAUGA